CCGUCGUGCUCUGCAGAGCAGGCAGGAGGGGGCAGAGGCCCCUCUCUGAUGGCUGUGGCAGGUGGGUCAGCCCUGGACUCUGGUGCUGUGUUUGCUUUGCUGGAUCCCAGGGAUUUUGGUGAUUUCAACAAUGAUUUGGAGACUUCCAGAGGGACUCUCCAGCCUGCAUCAACACCAGUGGCAGCAGUGACAUUUCAUUGACUUCUGGGCAUGGCUGUCAUGCCAGGAAUGCCAGCUCCAUCCACAGGGAGAGCUUGCAGAUUAACAAAACCAAGUCAGUCCUGGUGGUGCCAGGACUCUGCUCACCUGUGCCAUGCUCUGGAGGUGGCUGGCCAUGUCCCGUUCAGUUGCCGGACACCUGGCUUGCUCCCAUCUCUGACAAAGUGGGUGUUUAACUCCUCGCAGCAACAACAGCAGAUGGAAAUCUCUGUCCAUUUCUACCCACGCCUCCUCAAGACACACAUCGUCUGGGGAGCGAUGCUGCCUACAUGAAGCCAGUGGUGACAGCAUCCACCAUCCUGGCAGCUGAAGAAAUGCAGGACAAGGCAGUGAUGCCCAGAGGAGUGAUGCCAACAUCACUCUCGUCGGGCUGGGUAAUAUGGAGGUCACCUUGUUGUUGGGAGGAAUUUCCUGGUGCUGCAUGGUUGUGGAGGGAUGGAUGUGAAACGGGUAAUGGAUAAGAGGGCAAGACAUAACACUGCUCUGGCGAUCUGAAACCCAUCCCUGGCAGUAGCACAUGUGGGUGCCAGGACAUCAUUCAGUGUCCCUGGGUCAUUCAGCAAUUCAGUUGAGGGAAGGCAGGUCCUCGUUGAAGACCAUUCCUGUCAGUGCCAGGGCCAGCAGCUGUGGUUUCCCUGGGAUGGCUUCCAGAUGCACGGAGGUGGGGGAGAUCCAUUUGUUGACUACAUGAGAAUGAAUGAGAGAGCGAGCCCCAGGUUCACAUGGGAGGAUGAGGGUCUUCACAAGGGUAUGUGCUGAGGCCACUCCCUGGGACAGGGCUUUCAGCAACCUGGUCUAGUGGAAGGUGUCCCUGCCCAUGACAGGGCACUGGAACUGGAUGAGCUUUAAGGUCCCUUCCAACCCAAACCGUUCUGUAAUUCUAUGAAGACAGAGCUGAGAAGGUGGCAGGUAGGAACUGUCCUGUGGCAAUGGACAGGGUUUACUCUGUUGGAGGACUGGUCACUGCUCACUUUGAUGACUCCUGCACACAGGACGUGGGGUGAGGGCGGGAGAGGGGACAAGGCACAAGCACAGAGCAGGGCAGGUCCUACCCAACACGAGUAUCCCAUCAGUGUGCUCCACUUGUCCAGGCUGGGGCAUCCGUAGACCUUCCCAUGCAUGUCCUAACACAUCUCCUGCGCUGCUGCAGGCUAUCUUCUCCCUGUUCUCUGUAACAUUGUCCUGCCUCGUGUUCGUGAUCAUAGCCCUUUGCCACCAUCUUCCCUUCCUCAUCUGUUCCCCAUAACACCUUCUGCCUCUCUGAAUCCCUGUCCCACCCCAGCAGCUGGCUUGUGGGCUAUUUUGGAGGCUGUAGGUUGCUCCCAGGACUGAUCUCGCUCCCCUUGAGUAGCAGCCAGGUCUGGCUGUGCUCAGCCUGGGAAAGAAGGUGCAGGAGGAAUGCCAUUUAGGAGUGAGACAUGGGUUGGUUCCUCAUUCAGCAUGGGUGAGGUCCUUCUGCCUGUGGGUAUCACCAGCAGCCAUGGGUUCUCUGUGUGCAUUCCCCACAGCAAGCUGGCCUGGUCUCAUGAAACACAGUGGAUGAGAGAACCCUGGUUCCUUAUUUGUUUGCCAGGUUAGUGUCUGGGAGUCAGGGUCAGGAAGCACAGACCUCAGAAAGCGGAGAAGCUGCCUGCAGCAUGGCCUGCAGGAAUGUAUUUUCCUCCCUUUCUGUUUUGUAAUUGCCCCAAGUUCACCUUCAGUUGGAUCAGAAGCUCAAGGAGCCCCAGGGUGAUGUGCUGGUGACAGUCUCUUUUACCUCCGUUCUCUACCCAGGGCAUGGUAAACAAAGCCCAAGAGCUGAUGGUGUCCCCUUAUUGCGCCAGGCCAUGGAGCAUCAUAUCAAAGGAAAAAUGUGCUCCAUGUAGGUCUCCCAUGGCAUGUGUUGGUCCUCACCUGUGUCAUGGCAAUGGACAGCUCUAGGUCCAGUAGCACUGUGUCACAAUGGGACUGUGUGGAAGCCCUUCUGGCUGAGCACAGGACAUGUGUAGAAGCGCCUGGUGCAGGGGGUGGUAUGAGCUGUUUUCAACAUCCAAGUGUGGCUCUGACGUACCAAGAGCACGAUCUCCCAUGCGCUGGCUCCAUCUCUCUCCACCGCUGCUAAUGACCUCCCACCCUCCUUAGCACAAACCCUGAGGAAGGUUGUGAGCAGACGCUGGUGAUUUGAGCCAAGACCGGGUGAGAUCCCAGGGGUUUUCCCUCUGCCUCGGGUGGCUCUGCAGCCUCCCCGUGUCGCUGCAGCAACCUCAGAUGUAUAUUUGUAAUGAUCUUCGGUGUUUGUAUGUUGGUGCGUGUGUAUUUACAUAUGAGUGUGUGUAGGUGUGUGUGGGUGCGUGCGUGUAGCCAAGGGAUCUAUUUACUGUCAACAUGAGUGUACAGGGGGCAGAUCCCUGGGGGGAGGCUGGGGCUGGGCUGGGGCUCUUUUAUUUUUGCUGUUUAAUUAUUCAGUUAUUUUGGGUUUCAGGUUUGGAUGGGAUUUUUUCCUUCAAGGGGGGUGGGUUUUGGUCUGUCUCAGAUUGAUUGACAAGGUGAGGGCCUUGAUUAGGACCAAAUUUUUGUGCCUGUUGCUCUGGUGAUCUAUUUAGAAAUCAAAAGUUUACUGUAUGGUGGCCCAUCCUUGUCACUCUAUACAUAGGAAUAUACAGGACAUAUUAUAAAUAUAUAUAUAUUAUACAUACCGUAUGGAGCGAGGUCAUUAAUCUCACCCCCCUCUCUGGCUUUGGAUGGACACCUCUUCAAUAUGCUGUAACGUAGCUUUGAUCCAGUGCUGGGAAUGACUGGAAAGCGCCAGCACCCUUCAAAAACUGGCAAUGACACCAAUAAAGGAAUGAGCAUCAUUGCAAAGGGCAUCUGCAGCCUCCUUCAUCCGCAGCUCCAGCCGCUGGGAACAUGCCAGCACCACAGUGCUGCAGCUGAUGUGUUAAUUGAAGUGCAGCUCCAUGUUGUGUAUGCUGCUCAGGGGGACCUCAUGGGCUGUGUGUGUUGAGAGACAAGGAUUUGGAAUUAGGGCUUCUGCAACAGCACAAAUGGGGGCACCAGUGCCCACCUGCCUGUAUUUCUCUAUAUAUUUCUAGUGGAGGCUGUCCAUGUCCAUGCCAAGAGAGUUGAAACUAGAAGAUCAUUAAGAUCCCUUCUAAGUCAAACCUAAUUCUAUGAUUUCUCCCAUUUUGUGUAAAAUAAAGUGUUUGUACUGAAACUGUAAUUUGCUGGAGGCUUUGAUAAGACAAAGUCUAAGGAGCAAAAGCUGGUUUUGCUGGGUAUGAGCACCUGCUGUACCUCUAAAAGGAAAUUUAUUAGCCCCAAGAGCACAGAGAGGCCCAUGUAAAAUCGGUGAGUUGAUUUUGAGGCAAUUUCGUUUAACAUGCUCACUUAUUUCAUAGAACCAUGGAAUGGUUUGGGUGGGAAGAGACCUUAAGGGUCAUCUACUUCCAUUAUGGUAUGAUUCUGUGAUGAUUCUAUGGUAAGGAAGGGAGAAAGUUGGGUUUUGUCAUAUUCAGUUUAUCUCUCCACUGCCGCCCAGGGCAGCCUGCGUGCAGAUCAGAAGAGCAAGGUCCGGAGGUAGCACAGAGAGAAUAAAGACAAAUCAGAAGCAUU